GGGCCCAUAGCUCAGCGGUAGAGCCACCGGCUCAUAACCGGUUAGUCCCAGGUUCGAAUCCUGGUGGGCCCACCA
rnacentral:tRNA from 3 species